GUAGUCAUAUGCUUGUAACAAAGAUUAAGCCAUGCAUGUCUAAGUAGGAGCAACUUUUACGGUGAAACUGCGAAUGGCUCCCUAAAUCAGUUAUCGUUUAUUUGAUAGUACCUUGCUACAAAGAUACCUGUGGUAAUUCUAGAGCUACCACAUGCUGAAAACCCCGACUUCGGAUUGGGUGUAUUUAUUAGAUAAAAAACCAACGCCGGUCGGGGCUCCUUGGUGAAUCAUGAUAACUUAAAAAAUCGCAUGGCCUUGCGCCGGCGAUUUUUCAUUCAAAUUUCUGCCCGGUCAACUUUCGAUGGUAGGAUAGUGGCCUACCAUGAAGGCAACGGGUAACGGGGAAU
rnacentral:rRNA from 1 species